rnacentral:rRNA from 1 species
GACGAACGCUGGCGGCGUGCUUAACACAUGCAAGUCGAACGGAAAGGCCAGUGCUUGCACUGGUACUCGAGUGGCGAACGGGUGAGUAACACGUGGGUGAUCUGCCUUGCACUCUGGGAUAAGCUUGGGAAACUGGGUCUAAUACCGGAUAUGAACUGCCUUUAGUGUGGUGGUUGGAAAGUUUUUUCGGUGCAAGAUGAGCUCGCGGCCUAUCAGCUUGUUGGUGGGGUAAUGGCCUACCAAGGCGUCGACGGGUAGCCGGCCUGAGGGGGUGUACGGCCACUGUGGGACUGAGAGAGGGCCCAGCCUCCUCGGGGAGGCGGGGGGGGGGAAUUUUGCACAAGGGGGGGACGCUUGAUGCAGCGACGCGGGGGGGGGGAUGGCGGCUUUCGGGUUUUAACCCCCUUUCGACGGGGACGAGGGGAAAGGGCGGGUCCUUGAAAAAGAAGCCCGGCCUAACUACGUG